UGGCUCAGAUGGUAAGAGCAUCUGCCUACAAUGCAGGAGACCUGGGUUCAAUCCCUG
rnacentral:tRNA from 1 species